rnacentral:rRNA from 1 species
UACGAAGGGGGGCUAGCGUUGCUCGGAAUCACUGGGCGUAAAGCGCACGUAGGCGGAUUGUUAAGUCAGGGGUGAAAUCCUGGAGCUCAACUCCAGAACUGCCUUUGAUACUGGCGAUCUCGAGUCCGGGAGAGGUGAGUGGAACUGCGAGUGUAGAGGUGAAAUUCGUAGAUAUUCGCAAGAACAUCAGUGGCGAAGGCGGCCUGCUGGGCUGUUGCUGACGCUGAGGCGCGACAG